UAAGCGCAGCUUUCUCAAACCCUUCUUUCAAUUUAAUGCCCAAAUGAUCAUUUCAUUGCCUUGGAUAGAAAGUAACUAAUUUGUCUUAUGAUUCCCAAAUGGUAACUAACUCAAGUUAACCAGCAGAGUUUCAUCUAAUUGGAUCAAGUCUUGAUGGUUAAACUCAGCAAAACUAAUCUGAAUUUAGAAAUUUAGUUUUUCACUUCUCUUUCUCCACCCACAAAAGGGAGAAAAGAACAAACUCCUUAACAGUUACUGCUUUCAUCUGCGGCAUUUCCAGCUUGCAUUUACUAUCAUGACACACACUAGUAUUUGCUUCAAUGCGUUUUUGAAGAAAACGGUUGCAAACUAGAGAUGUGCAAAUGAGCACUUACCUGUAGAACUAUCGUAGGCUAUUUCAAAGCCAGAAAAACAGAAAAAACUCACCAUGUUCCUCAGGCCAACCAGGCAGGCGUGAAAGACCUUUGAAAGGCAGGAGAUGCCAACAUAGUCUCAAGUGUCCACCUGAUCCAAGAAGCUCACUCCUCACCAGCAUCCCUCUCCAACCCAUUGUCCAGUUCAAUCCAUGUCUGAAGAGUUGGCUUCGGGAAUGGUUCCUGUCCUGGGCCAACAGAAGAUAAGGCCUUUGGUACAUGAUGGGUAGACCCGCGAUGGAAUGAAAGCCUCGGUGCAGUGAAGGAAAGAAGGAAAGCGCUCAUUACCUCUAUUUGUCUGUAAUUAAAGCACCACAGCUCUACUAAGAUUGCCCAAAAAGGCACUGAUAAAAAUACAUUUUGCCCUCCAGAGGGCAGUCUGGCUCUACAAAAUACACAGUCCUGGGCAGCAUUUGAGCAUAGAGAACAAACAGAGAUUCUGCAUGACUCCUUGUUGACCCACAUUAUCAGCACACACUUGUAAAGAGGAAACACUGAACCGAGGAGACCUGUGAAAGCCAACCGAGGUUUCUUCACAACUGUCAGCUGCUGAUAAUAAUUGGACAUACAGGUUUUCAAUAAAUACUUGCUGAAUGAAUACGUGAAAAAGGAGGCAAAAAGGAAAAAAAAAGAUGAUCAAGAAUGUUCAGAUAAACUGCGAUCAAAAUAACUGACUCCUGGGGAACAAGGAUUAAGAAGGUCUGAAUUAGAGAACAUCUUUUGAACUUGCCCUGGCCCCUCAGUGAAUGAGCUGAAGCUGUUGUAGAUAAGAAGUGCUGGGCACUGGGGACUCCUGGUGUCUUUGUGUUUUGCAGUAUGAAGAGUGCAGUGGAAACAAGGUGAUGAGCCUUCCAUGCACCUUGGAGGGAGGAUGAGAGAAACAGAGUCCUUCACUGUGCGUGUAUCCAUGGCUGAGACAUUGAAAUAUUUUUUACUUGGUGGCCAAAGUUUAAUUGGGGUAUUGUGUUAGUUAUUUACUGCUGCUAUAACAGAAGUACCACAAGUGGGUGGCUUUAACAAACAGAAAUUUAUUCUCUCACAGUCUGGGAGGCUAGAAGUCUGAAUUCAGGGCGCCACCUCCAGGGGAAGGCUUUCUCUCUCUGUCGAUUCUGGGAAAAGGUCUUUCUCAUCAAUCUUCCCUUGGUCUAGGAGCUCCUCAGUGCAGGGACCAAGGGUCCAAAGGCCAUGCUCUGCUCUGGGUGCUUAUUUCUUGGUGGUAAUGAGGUCCCUCUCCUCUCCGCUCAGUUUUCUUUUAUAGCUUGAAAGAGAUUGACUCAAGAUACAACCUAAACCUGUGAAUUGAGUCCUGCCUCAUUAACAUAACAUCAGGUCACAAAAUGGUGAACAACCACACAAUACUGGGAAUCAUGGCCUAGCCAAGUUGAUACACAUUUUUGGGGAACACAGUUCAAUCCA